rfam:Carnobacterium divergens DSM 20623 NODE_75, whole genome shotgun sequence.
AUAAAAAAUAGAGGUGCAACAAUUAUCAGUAAUUAGUUGGAGGUUUGACAAAACCUGUGAAGACUAGUGAAAGGAAUUUUUGCCGAAACAAAAAACUGUCAUCUUUUUGUUGGGUCUUAGGUUGAAUAAGCCGAGAACUGUCGCUUAUCUUUAAGCGUUGCGCUAUCUUACUG